rnacentral:rRNA from 1 species
CCUACGGGUGGCAGCAGUGGGGGAUAUUGCACAAUGGGGGAAACCCUGAUGCAGCGACGCCGCGUGGGUGAAGAAGCGCCUCGGCGCGUAAAGCCCUGUCAGCAGGGAAGAAAAUGCCGGUACCUGAAGAAGAAGCCCCGGCUAACUACGGGCCAGCAGCCGUGGUAAUACGGCGGGGGCAAGCGUUAUCCGGAUUUACUGGGUGUAAAGGGGGCGCAGACGGCGAUGCAAGCCAGGAGUGAAAGCCCUGGGCCCAACCCCGGGACUGCUCGUGGAACUGCGUGGCUAGAGGGCAGGAGUGGCAGGCGGAAUUCCUGGUGUAGCGGUGAAAUGCGUAGAUAUCAGGAGGAACACCGGUGGCGAAGGCGGCCUGCUGGACUGCAACUGACGUUGAGGCCCGAAAGCGUGGGGAGCAAACAGGAUUAGAUACCCGGGUAGUC